rnacentral:rRNA from 1 species
CGAAUGGGGAAACCCAGUGUGAUUCGUCACACUAUCAUUAACUGAAUCCAUAGGUUAAUGAGGCGAACCGGGGGAACUGAAACAUCUAAGUACCCCGAGGAAAAGAAAUCAACCGAGAUUCCCCCAGUAGCGGCGAGCGAACGGGGAGGAGCCCAGAGCCUGAAUCAGCAUGUGUGUUAGUGGAAGCGUCUGGAAAGGUGCGCGAUACAGGGUGACAGCCCCGUACACAAAAGCGCAUGUGCUGUGAGCUCGAUGAGUAGGGCGGGACACGUGGUAUCCUGUCUGAAUAUGGGGGGACCAUCCUCCAAGGCUAAAUACUCCUGACUGACCGAUAGUGAACCAGUACCGUGAGGGAAAGGCGAAAAGAACCCCGGCGAGGGGAGUGAAAAAGAACCUGAAACCGUGUACGUACAAGCAGUGGGAGCACCCUUCGGGGUGUGACUGCGUACCUUUUGUAUAAUGGGUCAGCGACUUAUAUUCUGUAGCAAGGUUAACCGUAUAGGGGAGCCGGAGGGAAACCGAGUCUUAAUUGGGCGUUAAGUUGCAGGGUAUAGACCCGAAACCCGGUGAUCUAGCCAUGGGCAGGUUGAAGGUUGGGUAACACUAACUGGAGGACCGAACCGACUAAUGUUGAAAAAUUAGCGGAUGACCUGUGGCUGGGGGUGAAAGGCCAAUCAAACCGGGAGAUAGCUGGUUCUCCCCGAAAGCUAUUUAGGUAGCGCCUCGUGAAUUCAUCUCCGGGGGUAGAGCACUGUUUCGGCUAGGGGGCCAUCCCGGCUUACCAACCCGAUGCAAACUGCGAAUACCGGAGAAUGUUAUCACGGGAGACACACGGCGGGUGCUAACGUCCGUCGUGAAGAGGGAAACAACCCAGACCGCCAGCUAAGGUCCCAAAGUCAUGGUUAAGUGGGAAACGAUGUGGGAAGGCCCAGACAGCCAGGAUGUUGGCUUAGAAGCAGCCAUCAUUUAAAGAAAGCGUAAUAGCUCACUGGUCGAGUCGGCCUGCGCGGAAGAUGUAACGGGGCUAAACCAUGCACCGAAGCUGCGGCAGCGAACGUAUCACCCAAGACAACUUUACGGAGUUGACGAUUGACGGAGCGAAGCGACGUCAAAGCGUUCAUUAAAGUCGAGUUGGCUUAGGGAUACGUUCGUUGGGUAGGGGAGCGUUCUGUAAGCCUGUGAAGGUGUGUCGUGAGGCAUGCUGGAGGUAUCAGAAGUGCGAAUGCUGACAUAAGUAACGAUAAAGCGGGUGAAAAGCCCGCUCGCCGGAAGACCAAGGGUUCCUGUCCAACGUUAAUCGGGGCAGGGUGAGUCGACCCCUAAGGCGAGGCCGAAAGGCGUAGUCGAUGGGAAACGGGUUAAUAUUCCCGUACUUGGUGUUACUGCGAAGGGGGGACGGAGAAGGCUAUGUUGGCCGGGCGACGGUUGUCCCGGUUUAAGCGUGUAGGUGUGUGUUCCAGGUAAAUCCGGUUCACUUUAACACUGAGGCGUGACGACGAGGCACUACGGUGCUGAAGCAACAAAUGCCCUGCUUCCAGGAAAAGCCUCUAAGCAUCAGGUAACACGAAAUCGUACCCCAAACCGACACAGGUGGUCAGGUAGAGAAUACCAAGGCGCUUGAGAGAACUCGGGUGAAGGAACUAGGCAAAAUGGUGCCGUAACUUCGGGAGAAGGCACGCUGACACGUAGGUGAAGUGAUUUACUCAUGGAGCUGAAGUCAGUCGAAGAUACCAGCUGGCUGCAACUGUUUAUUAAAAACACAGCACUGUGCAAACACGAAAGUGGACGUAUACGGUGUGACGCCUGCCCGGUGCCGGAAGGUUAAUUGAUGGGGUCAGCGCAAGCGAAGCUCCUGAUCGAAGCCCCGGUAAACGGCGGCCGUAACUAUAACGGUCCUAAGGUAGCGAAAUUCCUUGUCGGGUAAGUUCCGACCUGCACGAAUGGCGUAAUGAUGGCCAGGCUGUCUCCACCCGAGACUCAGUGAAAUUGAACUCGCUGUGAAGAUGCAGUGUACCCGCGGCAAGACGGAAAGACCCCGUGAACCUUUACUAUAGCUUGACACUGAACAUUGAGCCUUGAUGUGUAGGAUAGGUGGGAGGCUUUGAAGUGUGGACGCCAGUCUGCAUGGAGCCGACCUUGAAAUACCACCCUUUAAUGUUUGAUGUUCUAACGUGGACCCGUAAUCCGGGUUGCGGACAGUGUCUGGUGGGUAGUUUGACUGGGGCGGUCUCCUCCUAAAGAGUAACGGAGGAGCACGAAGGUUGGCUAAUCCUGGUCGGACAUCAGGAGGUUAGUGCAAUGGCAUAAGCCAGCUUGACUGCGAGCGUGACGGCGCGAGCAGGUGCGAAAGCAGGUCAUAGUGAUCCGGUGGUUCUGAAUGGAAGGGCCAUCGCUCAACGGAUAAAAGGUACUCCGGGGAUAACAGGCUGAUACCGCCCAAGAGUUCAUAUCGACGGCGGUGUUUGGCACCUCGAUGUCGGCUCAUCACAUCCUGGGGCUGAAGUAGGUCCCAAGGGUAUGGCUGUUCGCCAUUUAAAGUGGUACGCGAGCUGGGUUUAGAACGUCGUGAGACAGUUCGGUCCCUAUCUGCCGUGGGCGCUGGAGAACUGAGGGGGGCUGCUCCUAGUACGAGAGGACCGGAGUGGACGCAUCACUGGUGUUCGGGUUGUCAUGCCAAUGGCACUGCCCGGUAGCUAAAUGCGGAAGAGAUAAGUGCUGAAAGCAUCUAAGCACGAAACUUGCCCCGAGAUGAGUUCU